GGAGAGGAGCAUGAAUGGAGCAAAAUGGCGGAUCAUGUGCAGAGCCUGGCCCAACUAGAGAAUCUGUGCAAACAGCUUUAUGAGACAACAGACACAACCACUCGACUCCAGGCAGAGAAAGCCUUGGUCGAAUUCACCAACAGCCCUGAUUGCCUGAGCAAAUGCCAGCUGCUCCUCAAGAGAGGAAGUUCCUCUUACUCCCAGUUACUGGCAGCUACAUGCCUUACAAAGCUUGUAUCACGCACAAACAACCCUCUACCAUUGGAGCAACGCAUAGAUAUUCGGAACUAUGUGCUCAACUACCUUGCCACCCGGCCAAAGUUGGCUACUUUCGUGACACAAGCACUUAUUCAGUUAUAUGCCAGAAUCACAAAACUGGGCUGGUUUGACUGUCAGAAGGAUGACUAUGUCUUCAGAAAUGCAAUCACAGAUGUCACAAGGUUCUUACAGGACAGUGUGGAAUACUGCGUCAUUGGCGUCACUAUUUUAUCUCAGCUAACCAAUGAAAUUAAUCAAGCCGACACCACGCAUCCUUUAACCAAGCACAGAAAAAUAGCCUUUUCUUUCUGAGACUCAUCAUUAUUUGAUAUCUUCACACUUUCCUGCAAUUUACUAAAACAGGCUUCAGGAAAGAAUCUAAACUUGAAUGAUGAAAGUCAGCAUGGCUUGCUCAUGCAACUGCUCAAACUCACUCAUAACUGCCUAAACUUUGAUUUCAUCGGCACUUCUACUGAUGAGUCUUCAGAUGACCUGUGCACAGUACAGAUUCCCACCAGCUGGAGAUCAGCGUUCUUAGAUUCUUCAACUCUGCAGCUGUUUUUUGACCUGUAUCAUUCCAUCCCUCCUUCAUUUUCGCCUCUGGUAUUAUCCUGUUUAGUACAGAUUGCCUCAGUAAGAAGAUCCCUGUUUAACAAUGCAGAGAGGGCCAAGUUUCUCUCACAUCUUGUUGACGGUGUUAAACGAAUACUGGAAAACCCACAGAGUUUAUCAGACCCAAACAAUUACCAUGAGUUUUGCAGACUACUGGCCCGAUUGAAGAGUAACUCUCAACUGGGAGAAUUAGUAAAGGUGGAAAACUACCCUGAGGUCAUCCGAUUGAUAGCUAACUUCACAGUGACCAGCCUACAGCACUGGGAAUUUGCCCCAAAUAGUGUGCACUAUCUCCUGAGCCUAUGGCAGCAGCUGGCAGCCUCUGUGCCAUACGUGAAGGCCACAGAGCCCCACAUGCUGGAAACUUACACUCCUGAGGUCACCAAAGCCUAUAUCACAUCCCGUUUGGAAUCUGUGCACAUCAUCCUGAGGGAUGGCCUGGAAGACCCUCUGGAGGAUACUGGCCUGGUGCAGCAGCAGCUGGACCAGCUGUCUACCAUCGGGCGUUGUGAGUACGAGAAGACAUGCGCACUCCUCGUGCAGUUGUUUGACCAGUCUGCCCAGUCCUAUCAGGAGCUGCUGCAGAGUGCCAGCGCCAGCCCGAUGGAUAUCGCAGUGCAGGAAGGAAGGCUGACGUGGCUGGUUUACAUCAUCGGCGCAGUGAUCGGUGGCCGGGUUUCUUUUGCCAGCACUGAUGAGCAAGAUGCUAUGGAUGGCGAGCUCGUCUGUCGGGUGCUCCAGCUGAUGAACCUAACAGAUUCUCGCCUGGCUCAAGCGGGUAAUGAGAAGCUAGAAUUGGCCAUGCUGAGCUUUUUUGAACAGUUUCGUAAGAUCUACAUUGGGGACCAGGUGUAAAAAUCCUCUAAGCUGUACCGCCGACUCUCAGAAGUUCUGGGCUUGAAUGAUGAGACUAUGGUCCUAAGCGUCUUCAUAGGAAAAAUCAUCACCAACCUGAAGUACUGGGGCCACUGUGAACCGAUCACCUCCAAGACACUACAGCUUCUCAAUGACCUCUCCAUUGGAUAUAGUAGUGUAAGGAAACUAGUGAAGCUUAGUGCGGUACAGUUCAUGCUGAACAAUCACACGAGUGAGCACUUUUCAUUUCUGGGUAUUAACAAUCAGUCCAAUCUGACAGACAUGCGGUGUCGGACUACCUUCUACACAGCACUUGGGCGUCUCCUCAUGGUGGAUUUAGGAGAGGAUGAAGAUCAGUAUGAGCAGUUCAUGCUGCCGCUCACAGCAGCGUUUGAGGCCGUGGCCCAGAUGUUUAGCACUAACAGUUUCAACGAGCAAGAGGCAAAGCGAACUCUGGUUGGCCUCGUAAGAGACCUGAGAGGGAUAGCUUUCGCCUUCAAUGCCAAGACCAGCUUCAUGAUGCUGUUUGAGUGGAUAUAUCCAUCCUACAUGCCAAUUCUCCAGCGGGCAAUUGAGCUCUGGUACCAUGAUCCAGCUUGUACCACUCCUGUGCUCAAGCUGAUGGCUGAGUUAGUUCAUAACAGAUCCCAGCGACUGCAAUUCGAUGUCUCUUCCCCCAAUGGCAUCUUACUCUUCAGAGAAACCAGCAAGAUGAUAACAAUGUAUGGCAAUCGCAUCCUGACACUAGGAGAGGUCCCAAAGGAUCAGGUCUAUGCACUGAAGCUCAAGGGCAUCUCCAUCUGCUUCUCCAUGCUGAAGGCAGCCCUCAGUGGGAGCUACGUCAAUUUUGGAGUCUUCCGUCUCUAUGGAGAUGAUGCCCUGGACAAUGCUCUACAGACCUUCAUCAAGCUGCUCCUUUCUAUUCCCCACAGUGACCUCCUGGACUACCCCAAGCUCAGCCAGUCUUACUAUUCACUACUGGAAGUCCUGACCCAGGACCACAUGAACUUUAUUGCAAGCCUGGAACCUCAUGUCAUCAUGUAUAUUCUCUCUUCCAUUUCUGAAGGACUUACUGCACUUGACACCAUGGUAUGCACAGGCUGCUGCUCUUGCUUGGACCACAUCGUGACAUACCUCUUUAAGCAACUGUCACGGAGCACCAAGAAGAGGACGACACCCCUGAACCAGGAGAGCGACCGCUUUCUGCAUAUCAUGCAGCAGCAUCCAGAGAUGAUCCAGCAGAUGCUGUAAACGGUGCUGAACAUCAUCAUCUUUGAAGACUGUAGGAACGAGUGGUCAAUGUCCCGGCCCCUACUUGGCUUGAUACUACUUAAUGAAAAGUAUUUUUCUGACCUAAGGAACAGUAUCAUGAACAGCCAGCCACCAGAGAAGCAGCAGGCUAUGCAUCUGUGUUUCGAAAACCUGAUGGAAGGCAUCGAGCUAAAUCUUCUUACGAAAAACAGAGACAGGUUCACCCAGAACCUGUCGGCAUUCCGUCGAGAAGUCAACGACUCGAUGAAGAAUUCCACUUAUGGCGUGAAUAGCAAUGAUAUGAUGAGCUGACACCUCCUUGGACUCUACCUGUACAGAGCA